rnacentral:rRNA from 1 species
UUCCGGUUGAUCCCGCCGGAGGCCAUUGCUAUCGGAGUCCGACUUAGCCAUGCUAGUCGCACGAGCUCAUACUCGUGGCGAAUAGCUCAGUAACACGUGGCCAAACUACCCUACAGACCGCGAUAACCUCGGGAAACUGAGGCUAAUAGCGGAUACGACUCCCGUGCUGGAACAGCAGGGAGUCAGAAACGUUCCGGCGCUGUAGGAUGUGGCUGCGGCCGAUUAGGUAGACGGUGGGGUAACGGCCCACCGUGCCGAUAAUCGGUACGGGUGGUGAGAGCCAGAGCCCGGAGAUGGAAUCUGAGACAAGAUUCCAGGCCCUACGGGGCGCAGCAGGCGCGAAACCUUUACACUGCACGACAGUGCGAUAGGGGGACCCCGAGUGCGAGGGCAUACAGUCCUCGCUUUUGUGUACCGUAAGGAGGUACACGAAUAAGAGCUGGGCAAGACCGGUGCCAGCCGCCGCGGUAAUACCGGCAGCUCAAGUGAUGGCCGCUGUUAUUGGGCCUAAAGCGUCCGUAGCCGGCCGCACAAGUCCGUCGGGAAAUCCACCCGCCUAACGGGUGGGCGUCCGGCGGAAACUGUGCGGCUUGGGACCGGAGGACUCGAGGGGUACGUCCGGGGUAGGAGUGAAAUCCCGUAAUCCUGGACGGACCGCCGGUGGCGAAAGCGCCUCGAGAGGACGGAUCCGACGGUGAGGGACGAAAGCUAGGGUCUCGAACCGGAUUAGAUACCCGGGUAGUCCUAGCCGUAAACGAUGCUCGCUAGGUGUGGCGCAGGCUACGAGCCUGCGCUGUGCCGUAGGGAAGCCGUGAAGCGAGCCGCCUGGGAAGUACGUCCGCAAGGAUGAAACUUAAAGGAAUUGGCGGGGGAGCACUACAACCGGAGGAGCCUGCGGUUUAAUUGGAUUCAACGCCGGG